rnacentral:rRNA from 1 species
UGGCCUUGACAUACUAAGAACUUUCCAGAGAUGGAUUGGUGCCUUCGGGAACUUAGAUACAGGUGCUGCAUGGCUGUCGUCAGCUCGUGUCGUGAGAUGUUGGGUUAACGUCCGCAACGAGCGCAACCCUUUUCCUUAUUUGCCAGCGGGUAAUGCCGGGAACUUUAAGGAUACUGCCAGUGACAAACUGGAGGAAGGCGGGGACGACGUCAAGUCAUCAUGGCCCUUACGGCCAGGGCUACACACGUGCUACAAUGGUCGGUACAAAGGGUUGCUACCUCGCGAGAGGAUGCUAAUCUCAAAAAGCCGAUCGUAGUCCGGAUCGCAGUCUGCAACUCGACUGCGUGAAGUCGGAAUCGCUAGUAAUCGCGGAUCAGAAUGCCGCGGUGAAUACGUUCCCGGGCCUUGUACACACCGCCCGUCACACCAUGGGAGUUUGUUGCACCAGAAGUAGGUAGUCUAACCGCAAGGAGGACGCUUACCACGGUGUGGCCGAUGACUGGGGUGAAGUCGUAACAAGGUAGGCGUAGAUGA